GCGGGUUGCGUACGGACGCCCAGCUGGUUGACGAGCGGAGCUCUACCUGGGUGUUUGGCUCUCCGCCUUCUCGGCAUAGAUAUGAAGAGAAGACACACUAGAUAUGUCAGCGGGCUACAACAGCCCAGCCAAGUGGCAUCCCUCCGCGACGCCCAUGAUGGUUAACGUUCCUAUAAAAGGCUGCGCGCGAGGAACACUCUCCCCGAGUCCCUCUCGAUCUGCACCGGCGAGUCGGCGUCGGCGCUCACCUCGAACCACCGCUGCUCGAACCUCCGGUCCGGCACCG